UAUAAUAAAUGAAUAAGGACUAUUUAUUUAUAAAUGUAUCUGGAACGUUCCUCUUAGCUUAUUGAUGUAUAUUCUCUACUGCGGACAGUUUACUGCUGAAUAAUCUGUGUUUCUCUGAGUCUUACUUGUGGCCAUCAAAGGGUGCGUCACAAUAAUAUCUCUGUCCUCCUGAAGUGUGCACUUGUUCACAACUUCCCACCAAUCUAAAAGCAUUGAGAUAUGGUGGACACUCCCACCAGCCCAUUGCUCUGCAAUAUUUAUUUUAUACCGGUCAUUUGGUUGGGCCAUAGCUAGAGAUGGUUGGGCCAUAGCUAGGGUGUCCACUCUGGGAGGGAGGAAGGAGAUGGUUGGGCCAUAGCUAGGGUGUCCACUCUGGGAGGAAGGAGAUGGUUGGGCCAUAGCUAGGGUGUCCACUCUGGGAGGGAGGAAGGAGAUGGUUGGGCCAUAGCUAGGGUGUCCACUCUGGGAGGAAGGAGGUGGGCCAUAGCUAGGGUGUCCACUCUGGGAGGAAGUAAAACCAACACAUGUUUAUUUACUUUGUGAUUUCU